rnacentral:rRNA from 1 species
UACGGAGGGGGCUAGCGUUGUUCGGAAUUACUGGGCGUAAAGCGCACGUAGGCGGCUUUGUAAGUUAGAGGUGAAAGCCCGGGGCUCAACCCCGGAAUUGCCUUUAAGACUGCAUCGCUUGAAUUGUGGAGAGGUAAGUGGAAUUCCGAGUGUAGAGGUGAAAUUCGUAGAUAUUCGGAAGAACACCAGUGGCGAAGGCGACUUACUGGACACAUAUUGACGCUGAGGUGCGAAAGCGUGGGGAGCAAACAGG